rnacentral:rRNA from 1 species
UGAGGAAUAUUGGGCAAUGCCCGAAAGGGUGACCCAGCAACGCCGCGUGGAGGAUGAAGGUCGUAAGAUUGUAAACUCCUGUUAGAGGGGAAGAAUAACUAAGUUUGGAGCUUAGUAUGACUGUACCCUCAGAGAAAGCCCCGGCUAACUACGUGCCAGCAGCCGCGGUAAUACGUAGGGUGCGAGCGUUAAUCGGAAUUACUGGGCGUAAAGCGUGCGCAGGCGGUUUUGUAAGACAGAUGUGAAAUCCCCGGGCUUAACCUGGGAACUGCGUUUGUGACUGCAAGGCUGGAGUACGGCAGAGGGGGGUGGAAUUCCACGUGUAGCAGUGAAAUGCGUAGAGAUGUGGAGGAACACCGAUGGCGAAGGCAGCCCCCUGGGCCUGUACUGACGCUCAUGCACGAAAGCGUGGGGAGCAAACA